AGCUCUGCUGGCGUAUACCAAUGCUGUUGCGGUUAAAAAGCUCGUAGUUGGAUCUGAGCACUUAGCGGCCGGAGCGGCCCUAGCGGUCGUUUCUGGUGCGCGGUGCACAUUUGGCCAGUGUGCCGUCGUUUGGCCUUCACCGGCUGACGGCGGUUGCUGGCGAGUUUACUUUGAAUAAAUCAGAGUGCUCAAAACAGGCGUCUCGCUUGUAUGGUUUUGCAUGGAAUAAUAGAAUAGGACGUCAGUUCUAUUUUGUUGGUUUUUGGAACAGACGGAAUGAUUAAGAGGGACAGACGGGGACAUUUGUACUGCGACGUUAGAGGUGAAAUUCUUGGAUCGUCGCAAGACAAACUACUGCGAAGGCAUUUGUCAAGAAUGUUUUCAUUAAUCAAGAACGAAA
rnacentral:rRNA from 1 species